CUUGAGAUAGAGGAAAGUCCGGGCAACGCAGAGCACCAUACUUCUUAACGGGAAGUAGGCCGUGAGGUUUAAGUAACGUAACAGAAAAUAACCGCCCAAUAGGGUAAGGGUGAAAAGGCGAGGUAAGAGCUCACCGCCAUAGUGGUAACAUUUAUGGGCAGUACGUCUUAUGGGUUGAAAGACCAAGUAUACCAACGUUUGAAGGUUGCUCGCCUGAUGUUGGAGGGUAGGUCGAUUGAAAUAAUGGGUAACUAUUAUUCUAGAUAAAUGACAAGCAUUGUUUUUUACAAUACAAAACCCGGCUUAUAGCCCUACUA
rnacentral:RNase_P_RNA from 1 species